rnacentral:lncRNA from 1 species
GACAACUACCAAGGCUGAUAGGCCAAGGGAGGACAUAGAGGGGGUCAGGAUAGCUCUUGAUGCAGCCAAAAAGGUCCUAGGAACCAUUGGGCCACCAGCUCUGGUCUCAGAAACUUUGGCCUGGGAAAUCCUCCCACAAGCAACGCCAGUUUCUAAGCAACAAUCUCAGGGUUCCAUUGGAGAAACAACUCCAGCUGCAGGCAUGUGGACCUUGGGAACUCCAGCUGCAGAUGUGUGGAUCUUGGGAACUCCAGCUGCAGAUGUGUGGACCAGCAUGGAGGCAGCAUCUGGGGAAGGAAGCGCUGCAGGGGACCUAGAUGCUGCCACUGGAGACAGAGGUCCCCAAGCAACACUGAGCCAGACCCCGGCAGUAGGACCCUGGGGACCCCCUGUACUUUUCCAGAAGAUGAAAGCAGCUCUCGGACCCUGGCUCCUGUCUCUACCAUGCUGGCCCUGUUUAUGCUUAUGGCUCUGGUUCUAUUGCAAAGGAAGCUCUGGAGAAGGAGGACCUCUCAGGAGGCAGAAAGGGUCACCUUAAUUCAGAUGACACAUUUUCUGGAAGUGAACCCCCAAGCAGACCAGCUGCCCCAUGUGGAAAGAAAGAUGCUCCAGGAUGACUCUCUUCCUGCUGGGGCCAGCCUGACUGCCCCAGAGAGAAAUCCAGGACCCUGAGGGACAGAGAGAUGAACUGCUCAGUUACCAUGGGAGAAGGACCAAGAUCAAAGGCCUUCAGGACCCCAGCCUCUUUCCAUCAUCCUUCCUCCACCUGUGGGAAGAGAAGCUGAUGCAGCCGGUGCUCCACCCAUGGAAGAAAGGCUGGCUGUCCUUGGGCCCAAGAAAGUCAAGCAUUAUCCACGUCCAAAGGUGACAAGAUGACUCAAAGGAGACUUCAAGAACAGUGUAUGAAACACUGGAAGAGGUCACCUAGGAAAAGCAUGAAAUUUCCAUUCCUGAAUGUUUGAAAAUAGAAGAGGCUUCCAAUCAGUGUGGAAAGUGACAAAUCCCCUAUCAACACUCCCAGCCCUUGCUGGGGGCUCCUUUUCUGACUACUGUUAGCACUCAGCCUCCCAUUCACAUGUAUUAUAUUUAAGUGUACCAGCCUUGCCUUCUCAAGUAGAUUCUAAGCUCCUUUAAGGCAGUAAUUGCAUUUUAUCUGUCUCAUGAUGCCCCCAGAGAACUUCCAACUCAGUAGGACCCCAAUAAAUACCUGUGUCUGAUUGA